rnacentral:rRNA from 1 species
UACGGAGGGUGCAAGCGUUAUCCGGAUUUACUGGGUUUAAAGGGUGCGUAGGUGGAUUGGUAAGUCAGUGGUGAAAUACUUUCGCUUAACGAAGGAACUGCCAUUAUACUAUCAAUCUUGAAUGUAGUGGAGGUAGGCGGAAUGCGUCAUGUAGCGGUGAAAUGCUUAGAUAUGACGCAGAACACCAUUGCGAAGGCAGCUGGCUACACG